rnacentral:rRNA from 1 species
AUACGUAGGUGGCAAGCGUUGUCCGGAAUUAUUGGGCGUAAAGCGCGCGCAGGCGGUCCUUUAAGUCCGAUGUGAAAGCCCACGGCUCAACCGUGGAGGGUCAUUGGAAACUGGGGGACUUGAGUGCAGAAGAGGAGAGCGGAAUUCCACGUGUAGCGGUGAAAUGCGUAGAGAUGUGGAGGAACACCAGUGGCGAAGGCGACUCUCUGGUCUGUAACUGACGCUGAGGAGCGAAAGCGUGGGGAGCGAACAGGAUUAGAUACCCUGGUAGUCCACGCCGUAAACGAUGAGUGCUAAGUGUUAGGGGGUUUCCGCCCCUUAGUGCUGCAGCUAACGCAUUAAGCACUCCGCCUGGGGAGUACGGUCGCAAGACUGAA